rnacentral:lncRNA from 1 species
CACCAAAAUUAGAUGUUCGCUCACUUGAACUCAUAGAGGGCUGCACCCUUGUUGCAUCUACAUACUCAUUAUACAAUUUAAAAAGACAAGCACAAAUAUCAUCAAUCUUUUUCUUGCACUCCUCCAACUCAAAUGCCUUUUGAUAACAAAACUCUACAAAUAUCAGCUUCGAUCUGGGAUCCAAAAUACGAACAAAUUAUUGCACUGAGACCAAUAUUUGUUAAACUUCUUUAGCAUCUCAUUUGUUAAUUGCUUCACUGUUUCAUCAGUAUCGAUACUUUCAUCCAUCAA